GCAUUAAUGGGGUAGUGGUAACCUGGGUCAUUGCCAUUUUCAGUAUUUUUCUGAUUUCUCUCGACCCGCCGGGGGUUCGAUUCCCUCUUAAUGCA